rnacentral:rRNA from 1 species
GUGGGGGAUAUUGCACAAUGGGGGAAACCCUGAUGCAGCAACGCCGCGUGAAGGAUGAAGGUCUUCGGAUUGUAAACUUUUGUCCUAUGGGAAGAAGAAAGUGACGGUACCAUAGGAGGAAGCUCCGGCUAACUACGUGCCAGCAGCCGCGGUAAUACGUAGGGAGCAAGCGUUGUCCGGAUUUACUGGGUGUAAAGGGUGCGUAGGCGGAAGAGCAAGUCAGUAGUGAAAUCUGGGGGCUUAACCCCCAAACUGCUAUUGAAACUGUUCUUCUUGAGUGGAGUAGAGGUAGGCGGAAUUCCCGGUGUAGCGGUGAAAUGCGUAGAGAUCGGGAGGAACACCAGUGGCGAAGGCGGCCUACUGGGCUCUAACUGACGCUGAGGCACGAAAGUGUGGGUAGCAAACAGGA